rnacentral:snRNA from 1 species
GGAUGUGAGGGCAAUCUGUCUGCAACAUCUGUCACCCCGUUGAUUCUGCUGAUCUGGCUGGCUAGGCAGGUGUCUGCUUCCGCCCUCACUACUCUAUGCAUGUCCCUCCCAGAGCUGCGUGCUCGGUCGAAGAGGACAACCAUCCCCAACAGAGGAGAACUGGUCUUGGUUAAGGGUAUACGAGUAGCUGCACUCCCCUGCUAGAACCUCCAAACAAGCUCUCAAGUUCCACCAGUUCCACUCUCAUGAUAACCCAUUAAUCCAUUGACCCACUAAUCCAUGAAUGGAUUA